CCUUGAUGUGCCUUUGGAUCCUUUAUUUUGCUAGCAGUUAUACAGUAGAGUCACUUCCUACAAAGGCGAAAUGGGGUUUCUUAGUGCUGCUAAUGUUCUUUUCUUUCCCUCCAGUAAUAACAGUGAGAAAUUAUUGUCUUUUAUAUGCAUCCAUGUGCAUGAGCAGGGAGUGUGAGCAUGUAUCCGUGCAGGAGAAGUUCUGUGCAACAUCUACAAGAUAUAAUUUUCUGCUAUUUCUGGCCCAGUUCCUUCCUCUACGCACUUCCUAGCACAACAAAAGGUCAGAGGCAGGUGUCGAGAUGGCACUGGUUUUUCUCAUUUAAUCUACAACUUCAGAUAUCUUACAGGCCCCACAAGAAAUCAGGAGGGAUGUCUUCUAGGGAAUAGCUGUGCUGGAGUCAUUUCAGUUGUGGGAAGUUGUUUCAGGCUUAGACUGUGGAGGAUGCUCACGUGCGGUAGAUGCCAUUCAAGGGGAUGCUGAGGAAUUAUUUGGAGAGAUAGAAAUCCACAAAACAAGGCUGGAGAACAGAGCAGGCCUGAAAGAAAAGUCAAGCGCUCCUUUUUCUGCCUAUCUCGUCCUCAAUGGUAAAAUAGGCUAAACAAAACAAGUGCACAUCAAGACAGAGCCAA
rnacentral:lncRNA from 1 species